GACGAACGCUGGCGGCGUGCUUAACACAUGCAAGUCGAACGGAAAGGCCCUGCUUUUGUGGGGUGCUCGAGUGGCGAACGGGUGAGUAACACGUGAGUAACCUGCCCUUGACUUUGGGAUAACUUCAGGAAACUGGGGCUAAUACCGGAUAGGAGCUCCUGCUGCAUGGUGGGGGUUGGAAAGUUUCGGCGGUUGGGGAUGGACUCGCGGCUUAUCAGCUUGUUGGUGGGGUAGUGGCUUACCAGGGCUUUGACGGGUAGCCGGCCUGAGAGGGUGGCCGGCCACAUUGGGACUGAGAUACGGCCCAGACUCCUACGGGAGGCAGCAGUGGGGAAUAUUGCACAAUGGGCGGAAGCCUGAUGCAGCAACGCCGCGUGCGGGAUGACGGCCUUCGGGUUGUAAACCGCUUUCGCCUGUGACGAAGCGUGAGUGACGGUAAUGGGUAAAGAAGCACCGGCUAACUACGUG
rnacentral:rRNA from 1 species